UACGAAGGGGGCUAGCGUUGUUCGGAAUUACUGGGCGUAAAGCGCACGUAGGCGGAUAUUUAAGUUAGGGGUGAAAUCCCAGGGCUCAACCCUGGAACUGCCUUUAAUACUGGGUAUCUCGAGUCCGAGAGAGGUGAGUGGAAUUCCGAGUGUAGAGGUGAAAAUUCGUAGAUAUUCGGAGGAACACCAGUGGCGAAGGCGGCUCACUGGCUCGGUACUGACGCUGAGGUGCGAAAGCGUGGGGAGCAAACAGGG
rnacentral:rRNA from 1 species